GAGGCGAUGAGCUCGACAGUGACUGGAGGGACCCGCAGGAGCUGGGCUGGCUUGUUGCAGCCACGGGAGAGGCUAUUUUUUUGCCGAAGGGAGCGUGGGAAAGAGGAGGCAGCCCCCCACCGCCCCAGCCAGCACCCCGCACCUCUCUGGCAUGUGCGCUCCUGCAGCGACUGGGAAGGUGUUUGUUCAGCAGAACUGCGUGGGAAGCGAUGCGAGCAGAGCCUGUGUGGAGGGAGAAACUCAUCAGGGCUGCUGAAAACACCGUAGAGAGGCGCUCUGUGGACUGAUUCGGCAUUACGAGCAGGUCCCAGCCAAGUAUCGACAAAUACCUUAACAACGUCGAAAGUAGCCUAUUUUAAGAGGAAAUAUGCAGAAGAAGAAGAAGAUUUACAUCAGGAUUACCAGGGGUAUUUUCCAAAACACCUGAUCCUGCCCGAAGACCGGACUUGUAUCUUGAAACUUUCUCUGCAGAAGCUCCAGUUCCUUGAAGAUCCUGAGAUCUACCUCCGCCGGUCCGUCUUGAUCAACAACCUGCUGCGGAAGAUUCACCUGGAAACGGAGAGGGAACGCUAUGAAUACUUUAAGGGGAGUCCGUGCUGCCGGACUGCUUACGCGGAUGCACGAAAACGGCUGAAGUUCAUGGUCCAAGAAUGCCGUUCUCAAUCCCUUUAUUACGAAGAGCUGCAUUCGUAUCAUAUCGUGCCUUACCCUACGGAGAAUGCCAUUUAUGGAGUGGGCUACACGAGUGGCCACCUGGAGCAGAAUUCUCAGUUGCUUAUUUAUAAGAUGGAGUAACGGUCGUGCUUUCUUUUCUUGUAGACCUGCUGGCUGCUUUGCUUCUGAGCGGCUAGGAGGGCUUCUUAGCCUGCUACGGCAAGGCACUAGCUGCAACCGUAGGGCGAGGUCAAAGGUUAGUGCAUCAUCUUAGGCUGCAAUGAUGGGCGAGCUUCGGCCAGCUUGGUUACAAACAUCGCUUGGAACUGGUGCAAUAGUCAGGUUUCUCAGAAGCAGAGAGAGAUCUUGUGCUCAGCGAUCAGUGGCUUUUUGAUUUGUCCGUUAUGUAUAUAGAUGAAUUAACAUUAGCAGCUUAACUAGACCACCCUUGCUUAGGAAACGUAAGCUGACGACAGGAGACUAAUCCGUUAGUGAGGUUUUUGGUGAGAAUCAGAAAGGGCGGGUGGGAUUGACUUCUCAAAAGGGUCAAGAAACACGCUUUCAUUUUAAGGGAGUCCUUCGGCACCGAAGGGUUCUCUGCCGUUACAGAUAUGGAUUCCUUUUCACGCUUUUUUUGCUUAGGAUAUUCCACGCUAUUAACUGUUCUGAGAUUGUUCUGCUUAGCCAUUCAUUUGCUGGCUCGCUGACUUUGCCAGCACGCAUGGUUCCUUGUUUUGCUUGGCACUUCUGACUUUGUGUAACUUCAGUGAAUUUGGUGAGCCAGAAAAACGCAUUCGCCCCGUGAUCACCGCUUUCUAAGAGAUCCUCUUUGAGUUCAUGUCAAACUGAUAUGACGGUUCAGUGGCAGGGUGCUUAUCAGUAUUAAUGCUUUGGCAGGUCGUUGUGUGUGUGUGUGUGUGUGUGUGUGUGAUUUGGGGGACAAAUAUAUGUUUGAUUCAGUGAACCAUACGAGGCAGUUGUCCCAGUGUUCACAGUUGAUGAAGGCAGCCAGCUGAAGCUUAGGAAAUGUCUUCUACGACCCUCGAGCAUGUCACGCAAAGGAAGAUGGCAAAAAGAUCAACAAAGAUUGGUGAGGAUGCCAUUGCUGCCCAUGGUAUGUGGUGAAAUUGCCAAAGAGAAGUAUUAGACAGGAGGGUGCAAGAGGCCACAGAACCCAAAACGAGGAAUGCACCAAGUCCCGAUUGACACUACAAGCUCAUGGCAGAUUUGUACCAAUUUUUACUCUGGGAACUAUAGUUUGCUGAGGUUUUUGCUAUCAGUUCCUACUACAAUUCCCACAGUUCCCUAGGGAGGCAGAGUCAGUAGGAGGCAGUAACAGGGCCUUUCCUUUGGGCUUACGUCAAAAUUAAACUCCAAGAAGAAGCGAGUUUAAGACUGAAUCCACACCACACAUUGAAAGCGCAUUUAUACCACUUUAACAGUCCCAAGAAAUCCUGGGAACUGUAGUUUGUUAAGGGUGCUGCGACUUCCUAGGAGGCCCUUGUUUCCCCCUGCAGAGUUAUAAAUCCCAUAGUUCCCUGGGAAGAGGGCUUGACGGUUAAACCACUCAGGGAAUUGCAGUUCAGAAUAGGGGUCUCAGCACCUUUAGCAAACUACACUUCCCAAGAUUCCUUUGGGGAAAGCUGUGGCUGUUCAAAGAGGUCUGUUAGUGCUUUAAAUGUGUGAUGCAGAUGUGGCCUACAUCUGCAGUGUGGGUGUGCCUUCCAGUCUAGGGAAGUUUCUAUCUGAACCUUUGAAAGUUGCAUCAUUCAGCAUUAAACGACACAACAUUUUCCUGAAGAUGCACUGCUGAGAUGAAGUCCGUAUUGUGCUGUUCUAUGGCUCCUACUGAAUUUCCUUCGGGUUUACGCGGGAGAACAAUCCAAAGGGUUGGGCCCUAAUGAGAUCCAUCAUUUGCAAGCAUAUGGAUCUCUUUGUUUGCAUUUGUACAUUGUAACUUUAUUUCAUUUUUAUUUUAAAGAAAGCUUAAGUUCAAGAAGGACUAAUACUGACAUAUGUUAUACGAGGGUGUCCUCUUAACUUCCACAAGCAAAGCCAUCGUUCUUAUGCAAAGGGCAGUUAAAGCCGUCUCUGAAUGUUUCUUU